rnacentral:misc_RNA from 1 species
GAUGAAGAACGUAGCGAAAUGCGAUAAGUAAUGUGAAUUGCAGAAUUCAGUGAAUCAUCGAAUCUUUGAACGCACAUUGCGCCCGCCAGUAUUCUGGCGGGCAUGCCUGUCCGAGCGUCAUUUCAACCCUCGAACCCCUCCGGGGGGUCGGCGUUGGGGAUCGGCCCUUUACGGGGCCGGCCCCGAAAUACAGUGGCGGUCUCGCCGCAGCCUCUCCUGCGCAGUAGUUUGCACACUCGCAUCGGGAGCGCGGCGCGUCCACAGCCGUUAAACACCCCAAACUACUGAAAUGUUGACCUCGGAUCAGGUAGGAAUACCCGCUGAACUUAAGCAUAUCAAUAAGCGGAGGA